AAACUAACAAGGAUUCCCCUAGUAGCGGCGAGCGAAGCGGGAAGAGCUCAAAUUUAUAAUCUGGCACCUUCGGUGUCCGAGUUGUAAUCUCUAGAAAUGUUUUCCGCGUUGGACCGCACACAAGUCUGUUGGAAUACAGCGGCAUAGUGGUGAGACCCCCGUAUAUGGUGCGGACGCCCAGCGCUUUGUGAUACAUUUUCGAAGAGUCGAGUUGUUUGGGAAUGCAGCUCAAAUUGGGUGGUAAAUUCCAUCUAAAGCUAAAUAUUGGCGAGAGACCGAUAGCGAACAAGUACCGUGAGGGAAAGAUGAAAAGCACUUUGGAAAGAGAGUUAACAGUACGUGAAAUUGUUGGAAGGGAAACGCUUGAAGUCAGACUUGCUUGCUGAGCAAUCGGUUUGCAGGCCAGCAUCAGUUUUCCGGGAUGGAUAAUGGUAGAGAGAAGGUAGCAGUUUCGGCUGUGUUAUAGCUCUCUGCUGGAUACAUCUUGGGGGACUGAGGAACGCAGUGUGCCUUUGGCGGGGGUUUCGACCUCUUCACACUUAGGAUGCUGGUGGAAUGGCUUUAAACGACCCGUCUUGAAACACG
rnacentral:rRNA from 1 species